GGUUCCAUAGUGUAGCGAUUAGCACGUCUGCUUUACACGCAGAAAGUCCUGGGUUUGUGCCCCAGCAGAGCCA
rnacentral:tRNA from 1 species